rnacentral:sRNA from 1 species
CAAGGGCGAGGAUGCUAACAGGAUUAUGACUCAGGAUGAGGAGUCAGGAAGCGCCAGGAGGCGAGGACUACGGAUUGUCAGGAUGACAAACGUCUGGAGACGUUUUAAAAGGAAAUGGAUGUAACAGGGACCGUUAGUUGCUAAAGGAAAGACAGGGUGUGUCGUUAGCGAACAUGGAAAGUAGAAGCCCAUUAAGGGUUGUCAGUGCGGAAAAAGGCGACAGAGUAAUCUGUCGCCUUUUUUCUUUGCUUGCUU